CGGCCCAGACUCCUACGGGAGGCAGCAGUGGGGAAUAUUGCACAAUGGGCGCAAGCCUGAUGCAGCCAUGCCGCGUGAAUGAUGAAGGCCUUAGGGUUGUAAAAUUCUUUCGCUAGGGAUGAUAAUGACAGUACCUAGUAAAGAAGCCCCGGCUAACUUCGUGCCAGCAGCCGCGGUAAUACGAAGGGGGUUAGCGUUGUUCGGAAUUACUGGGCGUAAAGCGCACGUAGGCGGAUUUUUAAGUCAGAUGUGAAAUCCCGAGGCUCAACCUCGGAACUGCAUUUGAAACUGGAAGUCUAGAGAUCAGGAGAGGUUAGUGGAAUUCCGAGUGUAGAGGUGAAAUUCGUAGAUAUUCGGUGGAACACCAGUGGCGAAGGCGACUAACUGGACUGAUACUGACGCUGAGGUGCGAAAGUGUGGGGAGCAAACAGGAUUAGAUACCCUGGUAGUCCACACCGUAAACGCUGUCUACUAGCUGUGUGUGCCUUUAAGGCGUGCGUAGCGAAGCUAACGCGCUAAGUAGACCGCCUGGGGAGUACGGCCGCAAGGUUAAAACUCAAAUGAAUUGACGGGGGCCCGCACAAGCGGUGGAGCAUGUGGUUUAAUUCGAUGCAACGCGAAGAACCUUACCUACACUUGACAUGCAGAGAACUUUCCAGAGAUGGAUUGGUGCCUUCGGGAACUCUGACACAGGUGCUGCAUGGCUGUCGUCAGCUCGUGUCGUGAGAUGUUCGGUUAAGUCCGGCAACGAGCGCAACCCACAUCCUUAGUUGCCAGCAGUUCGGCUGGGCACUCUAGGGAAACUGCCCGUGAUAAGCGGGAGGAAGGUGUGGAUGACGUCAAGUCCUCAUGGCCCUUACGGGUUGGGCUACACACGUGCUACAAUGGCAGUGACAAUGAG
rnacentral:rRNA from 1 species